UCAAAACUUUAUUGUCAGAGUCACAGUUUACAAUAUGCAAAAACAUGUGAACAUAUACAAUCAUUAAGUUAGCAGCAGUAGUACACGUAACAAAAAUAUAAUCUUGUCAAAAACAUUUUACAAAACUAAUGCUCUAAGUAUGGAGGGGAAGUGAUUGGACUACAUUUUUUUACUAUUUAAAAUAUAAAGCAAAUUAACAGGUUGUAACAGGUACAAUAAUACGAACAGCAGAGAAAGAAACAAGAUUAAUACGGAUUUCUUAAGCUGACACAUAUAAUGAAUAUUAGUUUAUGCUUGUUUAUAUAUGUAAAAAACAAAACAAAAACAAACAAAAAAAAAACAAUAAAGAACGAGGGCACAAUUUAAAAGAUUUAUAAGAUGCGCUUAUGACUACACGCCCUAUAGUAAAAUAAUCAGUAGACUGACGUAAUUUUACCUGGCAGAUCUAUAAUUAGACUGGUGUAGACCAGUCAUCCAGGUGUGACGCAUUUCUUAACUCUAUAUUUGAUUUGACAUUGCUAUACUCAUGUGGAGACAUUGUAAUCUAACGGGACUUGCAGUCGAGCAGCACUUUUAAAACGUGCAAGACAGGCGAACCUGAAACACGACGAAAGUAUAUUAGGGUGAUGGAAUAGAUGACGUGGGAUGUACUUAUGUCUAUCCUCAUUGAAAUAUGGACAUUUUAAAAGGUAGUGCAGUUCAUCACCAAUUUCCUGGAGCGAACACAGAUGGCAAAUGCGCUGCUCGUGGACAACAUAAGACUGUCUCCAGCGUCCUACCUCUACUGGAAGCCUAUGGUUCCCUGUUCUGAAGAGGAAGAGGCUAGUCCUUAAAGUACACGAAUGUGACCAUUCUUGAUUUGACAGUAACCUCUAUUGGAUACCUCCCAAAUU